GAUGAACGCUAGCUACAGGCUUAACACAUGCAAGUCGAGGGACCGGCGCACGGGUGAGUAACACGUAUCCCACCUGCCCUUUACUCGGGGAUAGCCUUUCGAACGAAAGAUUAAUACCCGAUAUAAGGGAUGGGGAUGCGUUGCAUUAGGUUGUUGGUGAGGUAACGGCUCACCAAGCCUUCGAUGGAUAGGGGUUCUGAGAGGAAGGUCACCCAGAUUGGAACUGGGACACGGUCCAAACUCGUACCGGAGGCAGCAGUGAGGAAGAAUGGUCAAUGGGUGCGAGCCUGAACCAGCCAAGUAGCGUGAAGGAUGAAGGCUUAUGGGUCGUAAACUUCUUUUAUAUAAGAAUAGGUAUUAUAUGAAUAAGGAUCGGCUAACUCCGUGCCAGCCGCCGCGGUAAUAC
rnacentral:rRNA from 1 species